rnacentral:lncRNA from 1 species
UGGAGUAGCGGUUGCAGGGGUUCAAAUCGUAUCUGAUUAGAAGCCUUGAUCAUAAACAUCAAGUUCUCCAUCGAAUUAUCCAUACCUAUUGGAAGAUCGGCCAGUGCUACAUUAGUUUGAUUCCUAGAAAAGCCUCACAGAAGUGCACGAAGAUUGUAGUGUGGAAGAUCCCGUUAGGGUUCAGAUGAACCAACUCCAACUUAUUGUAAUCCAGUAAAUCUCAGAAGAAAUCUGAGGCUAGCAAUGCAAGACCUCGCUCAAUAAAGUGGGCAAAAAUUACCGUUUCGUUCAGAUACACCUCUAAAGGGCAGGCGUUGUCGAAUGAUGAUCUCUAGGCAAUAAAGUCCUGCUCUUGGAGUAGUUUGACAGCCACGAGCACCUUGAUUUCCUCCUCCUUCAAGGUUGACCGCUUCCAAGCAGCAACAGGAUUAGGCGGCGCAGUUUGAUUGGUUUUCCCAUACUUGGGCGCCGGCAACUACGGCUCCUUUUUCUUGCUGGACUUCUUC